CCCAAGGUGUUGAACACUACAAAUGCUACUGAACGCUGUGGCACAGGUACUUCAUUAAGGACCAGAAUUCCCUUGUUCUUGAUCGGAGGUUAUUUUCAUAGUUGAUCUUUGCUUUUAUUUCAUUCAAAUUAAAGUGCAUCGUUAUAAGAAACGAUAAUGCGGAGAAGGUACUGUCUAACCAAUAUUGCUCGAAAAGGGACAGUUUAAAUGGCUAGGAUAGUGCGUUACAGCGAACUGGGUGCUGCAGUUGGAAUAUGGAAGAAUGCCAGGCAACGAAUGUAACGUAUAGGGAGUCAAGGCAACAAACCGAAGAAACGCUGUUGAGUACAGUUAAUCAUUGGUAUUGAUGCUCAUUCUAUCAAGGACGAAAGCGUUAUCUCUUGUUUUCUGUCGGUUUCAUUUAUGACAGCACAGAUUGAAUUGCUUCUAAUGAAAUGUGCCGUUCAGUGAGUGUUUGGUGUCUACUUGAGAAUGUCUGCAGGUUACUGGUCUAUUGUAAUCUGCCUGAAUUUAACUUUGAAAAAAUUGCUUUAGAAUUACAGGUAUAAGAUGCGCUAAUUUCAUUCAGCCUUUUUUUACUGGGUUUCUAGUCCCCUUGUAGGGACAUGACGUAAUGGAGCUCUUGCUCUUAAUUGCAUAUUUCCUCUGAUUAACAAGAACCAGUUGAAACACGAUUUGCAUACGUUGAUUGACCAUACUAUCAAGUCGACAGUUGUGUUGCCUCGACAGAGUUGCUGCCUAGUUUGGUUGGGUGUAAAUAUCUAUACACAAAUAACGGUCUUAUCUUGAUUUUAUGUAAUGUUUUCUGCUAGUACUAACUGCUCUCACGUCAUAGCAUUCCGCCCUACGCUCACGUGGGCCAGUGUUAUGUCUUGUUUAAUCAGCAUAUCAGAUCCUAGAUGCCGACUGUGAAUUUCAAUGCGACCUGUCCAUCGAAUGUCUCCGAAAUUAUGGUGCCUCAUUACGCGUAACAGUGUUGCACUUUCCUUGAUAAGGUAAUCAAUGUUAACAAGGGGACAAAUGUAUCAGAAGAAAAGGCUGCAUUCUAUGACAAUCUG